AUUGAACGCUGGCGGCAGGCUUAACACAUGCAAGUCGAGCGGAGCGAGGGUGCUUGCACCUUAGCUUAGCGGCGGACGGGUGAGUAAUGCGUAGGAAUCUGCCUAUUAGUGGGGGACAACAUUCCGAAAGGAAUGCUAAUACCGCAUACGCCCUACGGGGGAAAGCAGGGGAUCUUCGGACCUUGCGCUAAUAGAUGAGCCUAGGUCGGAUUAGCUAGUUGGUGGGGUAAAGGCCUACCAAGGCUACGAUCUGUAGCGGGUCUGAGGGGAUGAUCCGCCACACUGGGACUGAGACACGGCCCAGACUCCUACGGGAGGCAGCAGUGGGGAAUAUUGGACAAUGGGCGGAAGCCUGAUCCAGCCAUGCCGCGUGUGUGAAGAAGGCCUUUUGGUUGUAAAGCACUUUAAGCGAGGAGGAGGCUACUUAGAUUAAUACUCUGGGAUAGUGGACGUUACUCGCAGAAUAAGCACCGGCUAACUCUGUGCCAGCAGCCGCCGUAA
rnacentral:rRNA from 1 species